UGGGGCCCUCGCACCCGCCGGUUCCGGGCGUGCCGUCCGCACCCGCCCACGACUGGUCGUUACGUUGUGUUGGCC
rnacentral:sRNA from 1 species